GUACUCAUUUUGGCAGCAUAUAUACUAAAGUUGAAACAAUAUAGAGAAAAUUAACAUGGCCCCUGUGCAAUCAUGAGACAUAGUUCAUAAAACAUUCCAGAUUUUA